AGUGAACGCUGGCGGUAGGCCUAACACAUGCAAGUCGAACGGCAGCACAGUAAGAGCUUGCUCUUACGGGUGGCGAGUGGCGGACGGGUGAGGAAUACAUCGGAAUCUACUUUUUCGUGGGGGAUAACGUAGGGAAACUUACGCUAAUACCGCAUACGACCUACGGGUGAAAGCAGGGGAUCUUCGGACCUUGCGCGAUUGAAUGAGCCGAUGUCGGAUUAGCUAGUUGGCGGGGUAAAGGCCCACCAAGGCGACGAUCCGUAGCUGGUCUGAGAGGAUGAUCAGUCACACUGGAACUGAGACACGGUCCAGACUCCUACGGGAGGCAGCAGUGGGGAAUAUUGGACAAUGGGCGCAAGCCUGAUCCAGCCAUACCGCGUGGGUGAAGAAGGCCUUCGGGUUGUAAAGCCCUUUUAUUGGGAAAGAAAAGCAGCAGGUUAAUACCCCGCUGUUCUGACGGUACCCAAAGAAUAAGCACCGGCUAACUUCGUG
rnacentral:rRNA from 1 species